AUUGAACGCUGGCGGCAUGCCUAAUACAUGCAAGUCGAACGAGUGCCUUCGGGUGCGAGUGGCGCACGGGUGCGUAACGCGUGGGAAUCUGCCCUGGGGUACGGAAUAACUCAGAGAAAUUUGAGCUAAUACCGUAUGAUAUCGCGAGAUCAAAGAUUUAUCGCCCUGGGAUGAGCCCGCGUUGGAUUAGCUAGUUGGUGGGGUAAAGGCCUACCAAGGCGACGAUCCAUAGCUGGUCUGAGAGGAUGAUCAGCCACACUGGGACUGAGACACGGCCCAGACUCCUACGGGAGGCAGCAGUAGGGAAUAUUGGACAAUGGGCGAAAGCCUGAUCCAGCAAUGCCGCGUGAGUGAUGAAGGCCUUAGGGUUGUAAAGCUCUUUUACCCGGGAUGAUAAUGACAGUACCGGGAGAAUAAGCCCCGGCUAACUCCGUGCCAGCAGCCGCCGUAA
rnacentral:rRNA from 1 species